GGGAAGAGGCGACUGUAAACAAGCCCGUAGGCAAGAGAUCGCACCGAGGAGGGACGGCGGAGGAGAGCAGGGGCAGAAAGAGACGAGGCCGCUGCGUCGCGGCUGUUGGAUCAGCGAAGAGGUGAAACUGUCUGUUUAUUCAGUCAUUCAUGUGUUGAUCUCAGUCUAAAUGCGGACCUGUUCAUCUGCAGCUGAACCUCGGCUUCAUUACACGUCAGUUAUAGUCGAUAGAAAACGCCGGUGUUGACUGUGGGGCGGCCAGUGGAGGAAGUCCCAAUGCCUUGUAUGGGCACAGUGACGUGUGGGUUCCUCUCCCGGAAGCCACGCCCACCCGGGCCUCAGUCCAGCAGAUUCCAGAUCCAGUCCAAACCUCCAGUAUAAAUCCCAUGCUUGCUGUCUCUGAGGAUCCUACGUGCAGGACUCUCCCUCUCCGCCAGCAGAGUGACUCAUGCCAGGUGAGCUCCUCCUCCUCCUGUGCGUUCUCCAGCCCAGUCAGUGCCUGUGCUCCCCUUGGACCACACGGGAGUCAGACCACCGCAGCGAGGAUAUCAGACCACCAGAGAUGCUGAGGACAAGAGCGGCCGUGGAGAGAGUGCUUUAGGACCACUGCAGGCUGCAGCUGCCAGCCUCUAAUGGCUUCCAGAUCUCCAUCUCUUCCUCCCUACAUUCCCCUUCCCCAGCUCUCUGUUUGUCUGCAGCGUUUCAGAUGAACGGGCCAAAGUGGAAGUGGAAAUCCGCUGUACUUCAGCCACUGAGUCAGCUAGCAAAGCACCCGUUUGAAGGAAAACCACAAGCAGGGGUUUGGAGAAGUAAAGGAUUUGUUUUUCAUAAAUCACAGUAGAGGCUGUUGGGUGUUUUUAUUCAAACGGAAGGUCUUUGAUGAGUCUAUUAGUUAAAUAUGUGUUUAUACACAAGGGAAUACACUCAGAGAAAAGUUGUUUAAGAUAUUUACCUUGACUGGAAACUGAAAGAAGUUUUUGUGUAACUGCUGUGGGACAGAAUUGUGUUAUUACCUUAAUACAGAUAUAGCAGUGUAUUCUCGUCUGUGUGUGUGUGUGUGUGUGUGUGUGUGGACUAGCUGUACAGAGAGAGAAAUCUGUUAUAAACAUUUCCACUGAAAUAGAUGUCAUUUUUCACUUUCACUGAUAAGAUGGUUUUAAAUUGAGUUUCCAUGUAAAGGGGAUUUUUGUGUGUGUUUGUUGUAACAUCAGUGAAGCACAAACCCUGGAAGAAGGUGGAGGAAGUUGAGCCAGGAAGAGCUGCUGUUAUGAAUACAGUGUGUGUUAAUGAGCGAUGAUGGACAAAACCCCUCCGGACACAUCUGGCACGACUACAGAUGGAUCCUGUAGGUGACACAGAGUCAAUAAGGCCAAUGUGGAGCAUCCAAACUAGUGAACAUGGAGCACACACACACAUUUCAGGCCACAUGCAGCAAUUUGUCAGUUUCUAAGGAACACCUAGCACUAACCAAUUCCUGCAGUAAAUGUGCCCACAUGAAGGAGGACUGUUGGAUUAGUUUGAGCUAGGUGUUCCUAAUAAACUGACAACUGAGUGUGCACAGACACAACACAAACCGUGUGACCAUCUGCCACAGCUAACAGGCCAUAGAUGUCUGCAAGAGCAAACGCUGCCUUAUAUCAAGUGCCUGGUGACAUUUCAAUGGUAACAGCCAUCUUUGUGAAGCCGCCAGUUUGUGCGACUGUUGUGAUUGCUCAUCCUGAGUCAGCAGCAACAGCAGCAGCAGUGAGGCCUCAUGUGUCACAUCACUCUGGCACAAAGGGCCCAGUAAGACCGAGGCCUCUGUGGUCGAACUGGGAGGAGAGUGCGACGGCCAGCCUUUGUGUUGUGGCCGGUGACAUCACGCUCUGUGAUGUCUAUCAUUAAAGCGUGAUGACUAUCCUGCGUGUGUAGCACUGAACAGUGUGUGCCUCUGCAGCUAAAUGGGCCCUAAUGGAAGGUUUGAGGGUGUUUUGUGCGGCGUGCGGGGGCCCCACUGGCAGACUCCCUGACCACAGAGGCAUAUCGAUGAUCAGUUAGCGGAGGGGAGUGCUGUGAGGUCAAACGACUGACCACACCAAGGCACUGACAUAAAAAUAUGAGGAGAAAGAAAAGCAAUAAGGUGCGUGGUUUUCUCUGUUAAGCACUUUCCAUUAUGGGGUGCUCUGAAAACUGCUGUAAAAGCACCUUAUAUUUGAGCAUGGUCAUCAUUUUACAAGCAUCUGUCAGCAUGUUAUUGUCACAUGAGGUGAAGUUAGCGAGUAAUACAUUCCCAGGAUGGUAGCAGAUAUCCACUGACUCAUCUCUCCCACUGUAUUCGACAUGAAGCUGUUUAACUCACAGGAACAGACCUGAGUGACGAACUUGGAGCCAGCAGCGGUGCAAGUCGCUGCCUGCUGCUGUUCCAUGCUCGCCGUCUUGUUUUCUGGCCAGGGUUCAGAGGACAGGACCCGGAGAGUUGGUGAUGCUGACAGACGUGCAGACAGCUGCGACUCUGGUGGUAACGUGCACUGUGAGGUGCUUGUCAGAGUGAAGAGGGCCCAUUGAAAGCAUGACGGAGCAGUCUGCUGUGCAGGCCCAUGCCAAAGGAGGGAGCGCCAGUAGAAAAGAAAAGUGAUGUCUCACCAAACUUCCCAAAAUCCCCCUCCCUCCCCCUUCCUGGCUUACUGGAAAUGGAAAGCUGCUUUUUGUUCUCCAGACCCAGACGUUCAUCUUCUUGACAGGCUGCAGGGUCAGGCCCUGGGUUAAUGUUUGUCUGUGGGGUCCUUCCAUCCCUCCCCAUGGGGGACAGGUCUCAUUAUGUCAGGCGGACAUUUGAAAGUUUGUUAGCAGUGCGGGGGAGGUCAUGAAUAGACAGACUAGUGAAACAGAUCUGCCUUUGUUCUGCAUGAUUUACACUGUGAGGCUGGCAUUUACCAACUGCCAGAUUAAUUCACAGGUAAUCUAAAAUAGAUUAGAGGAUCAGUUGAAACGAGCUGCUCAGUUUUAGGUUUCUUGAAGAGGUUUUAAUCGACUGCACCGUUCCUAAGCUGUUUUGUUUGGCCUGCGAACUAUUUAAAGACAUUUAUGAUCAAACAAGCUAUUUGCAAAGUGGUUAAAUUCUAAUUGUUAUGGCAUUUAUGGUUUCAGCCAUGCACAUUUGUGGGCCCAUAGAGCUUGAACAGCAUCCUGCUCCGGUUGAGCUUCCUGUUGGCUCCUUGCACACGUGGUAAGGGUAUUUAAAAAAACUAAACCUGUAUGAUAUUCGACCAAAUGGAUCAAAUUCUGAUUAACAUAAUUAUAAUUAUUGGUUUAUUUACACAUUUGACACACAUUGUUCAUAUGAUGAUUUAUUUCAUCAUGUCAGUUUACUUUGGUACAGGCUUGAGGUAUAUGUACAUGAGUACUUCACGUCCUGCUCCUUCAUCCUGUGACUCCAUGUCAGAGACAAACCGUGUACUUUUUACUACACUACAUGU